rnacentral:misc_RNA from 1 species
AAGACUAUAGACCUGCGGAGUACCUGCGGAAGGAUCAUUACAGAGUUGCAAAACUCCCAAACCACUGUGAACAUACCCGUACCGUUGCCUCGGCGGGCGGCCCCAGGGCGGGGCCGCAGCCUCCUAGCGGAGGCGCCCGCCGCAGGCCACAGCAACUAUGCUUAUCCACUGGCCCCUCUGAGUACACCACAAACAAUUAAAACUUUUAGCAACGGAUCUCU